GGGCUCGUAGAUUAGUCCGGUAAAUCGCAUCGUUCGCAACGAUGAGAGCGCGGGUUCAAAUCCCGCCGAGUCCA
rnacentral:tRNA from 1 species